AUGGUUGCCGCCCAGGGGUUGUCCUUAAGGGCCGCGACGCAGACAGCGGUCACUUCCUGGCCGAGGGGCAGGCUCCUCGCGGCCUCCCUGGGACUCCGGGCGUGUCGUCCAGCCCCGAGGCCGGCGACGGGCAGAUCCGCCUCACGGACAGCUGCGUCCAGAGGCUUCUGGAAAUCACCAAAGGAUCAGAAUUCCUCAGGCUGCAGGUGGAGGGAGGUAGAUGCUCCGGAUUCCAGUACAGAUGUUCACUGGAUACAGUUAUCAACCCCGACGACGGUAUUUGAACAGGGUGGGGCAAGAGUGGUGGUUGACUCUGAUAGCUUAGCCUUCGCGAAAGGGGCCUAGGUGGACUUCAGCCAAGAACUGAUCCGAAGCUCAUUUCAAGUGUCAAACAAUCCUCAAGCACAGCAAGGCUGCUCCUGUGGGUCAUCCUUCUCUGUCAAACUUU
rnacentral:lncRNA from 1 species